rnacentral:rRNA from 1 species
CGCAAUGGGCGAAAGCCUGACGUAGCGACACCGCGUGAGCGAAGAAGCCCUUUGGGGUGUAAAGCUCUGUCGGCUGGAACGAAAAAAAUGACGGUACCAGCAAAGGAAGCAUCGGCUAACUACGUGCCAGCAGCCGCGGUAAGACGUAGGAUGCAAGCGUUGUCCGGAUUCAUUGGGCGUAAAGAGUUCGUAGGCGGUUUGUUAAGUCUGAUGUUAAAGGCCGGGGCCCAACCCUGGAACUGCAUUGGAUACUGGCAGACUGGAGUGCAGUAGAGGCAAGUGGAAUUCCCAGUGUAGCGGUGAAAUGCGUAGAUAUUGGGAAGAACACCGGUGGCGCAGGCGACUUGCUGGGCUGUAACUGUCUCUGAGGAACGAAAGCUA